GAAGAUUUAGUUUAAGUAAAAUAGUUGUUUUGCAUUCAACAGAUGUCAUGUUGAUUUGGCAAUCUUUA
rnacentral:tRNA from 1 species